rnacentral:rRNA from 1 species
AGCGAACGCUGGCGGCAGGCCUAACACAUGCAAGUCGAACGGACCCUUCGGGGUUAGUGGCGGACGGGUGAGUAACACGUGGGAACGUGCCUUUAGGUUCGGAAUAGCUCCUGGAAACGGGUGGUAAUGCCGAAUGUGCCCUUCGGGGGAAAGAUUUAUCGCCUUUAGAGCGGCCCGCGUCUGAUUAGCUAGUUGGUGAGGUAACGGCUCACCAAGGUGACGAUCAGUAGCUGGUCUGAGAGGAUGACCAGCCACACUGGGACUGAGACACGGCCCAGACUCCUACGGGAAGCAGCAGUGGGGAAUCUUGCGCAAUGGGCGAAAGCCUGACGCAGCCAUGCCGCGUGAAUGAUGAAGGUCUUAGGAUUGUAAAAUUCUUUCACCGGGGACGAUAAUGACGGUACCCGGAGAAGAAGCCCCGGCUAACUUCGUG